CAUAUUGUAUCUCCCGCGAAGAAAACGUGCUCGUUUUGUUUACUCAUUUGAGACAUAAAAUUUCUUAAGAUAUUAAGGAAGUUAACUUGUUUACCACAUGGCGGUCGAUACAAUCAGGAGAUUAAAAACGAUUUACCAGAAGUAUUUAACACUUUAAUGCACAAAGUUUCAAUAUGUUUAUUUGUUUUUGAAAAUGUGUUGUUUUUUUUUAAAUUCAAAUUUAUCAAGAAUAUUUUCCACCUCUCUUGCUGAUUACACGUGGUUGACUUUUAUAUGAAUCUAAAUUGUAUAGGGAAUUUUCGCACAUGGUUAACAUAGAAUUGGUCCUCCGAUCUGCCUCGUACUUCGCUUGUCGACAGAAAAACAGAAAUUAGGUACCUCUAAAAGACCUGACGGUCUUGUCACAGAACAUUGCGGAAUAGGGUUUAGUUAGUAAGUUCACGUCUCCUUCCUUACCAAUGGCGCAAAAAAUGCUCCGACCAUGCUUCGAACUCUAGAUCUCUUGCAUCUUUAAUUUUUUUUUAAUUACAUUAAUGUUAUUUUGGAAAAAAAAAUAUUUUAGAUAAAUAAUAUUGUUAGUUAUAUUCAGUGAAAAUUUCAGGAACAUUGAAUGCGUCGUUUAACAUUUAUAAGGUUGUCCUUAAACUUUAGGACACUACCAGGGCAGUGGAAUUGGAAUUGGAGUCGUG